UCGACAGCACCGUACAGGCCAGCCUCUAUGUGUAUGUUAGUC
rnacentral:sRNA from 1 species